rnacentral:rRNA from 1 species
UACGGAGGAUGCAAGCGUUAUCCGGAAUGAUUGGGCGUAAAGCGUCCGCAGGUGGUGUUGUAAGUCUGUUGUUAAAGCGUGUGGCUUAACCGCAUAAGGGCGAUGGAAACUACAAGACUAGAGUGCGUUAGGGGUAGAGGGAAUUCCUGGUGUAGCGGUGAAAUGCGUAGAGAUCAGGAAGAACACCAGUGGCGAAAUCGCUCUACUAUGCCGCAACUGACACUGAGGGACGAAAGCUAGGUGAGCGAAUGGG